rnacentral:ncRNA from 1 species
AGCGUCGAGCCCCGAGCCUUCUUGAUUUGGAAUGGGAGCGGUAGCUCAACCCACCCUCCCACCCUGCGAGUUGACCUGUAGCGUUCGGCUUGCGACGCACAGUCACAUGCGUCUAACGUUCGCUCAGACAAAAACUUCGGCCCCCGCCGGUGCGCCAACACCAUGCGGGGGCCUGACCGACGAGAUCGACAGGAACGAUCCG